rnacentral:rRNA from 1 species
UACAGAGGGUGCGAGCGUUAAUCGGAAUUACUGGGCGUAAAGCGUGCGUAGACGGUUACGUAAGUCGGGUGUGAAAGCCCCGGGCUCAACCUGGGAAUUGCAUUCGAGACUGCGCAGCUAGGGUGCGGAAGAGGGAAGCGGAAUUUCCGGUGUAGCGGUGAAAUGCGUAGAUAUCGGAAGGAACAUCAGUGGCGAAAGCGGCUUCCUGGUCCAGCACCGACGUUCAGGCACGAAAGCGUGGGGAGCAAACAGG